ACUUCCAAUCCGUGAAAUUGACCUUCCCGUGAAGAGGCGGGAAUACGACAAUAAGACGAGAAGACCCUGUGGAGCUUUAAUUAAUCGACCCAAAGAGACCUUAAUAACCAACCGACAGGAACAACAGACCUCUGCCAUGGGCCGACAAUUUAGGUUGGGGUGACCUCGGAGAAUAAAACAACCUCCGAGUGAUUUAAAUCUAGACUAACCAGUCGAAAGUAUUACAUCACUUAUUGAUCCNAAAGCUUGAUCAACGGAACAAGUUACCCCAGGGAUAACAGCGCAAUCCUAUUUC
rnacentral:rRNA from 1 species